rnacentral:misc_RNA from 1 species
GAAUUUUAUUGUUUGUUUUCUUGAAAAUGCUAAUAAUAUACUUUUGGCCACACAUAUUUUUCACUAAUUUACAUCAAUGACAUAAGAAUAUGAAUCUUGCUUCCUAGCAAAGCAUAUGGACAGAGAAAUUAAGCUUUCUUGGUGACAAAAAGACGCCAGUGGUUCCAAUACAUGAAGAAAACACAUGGGGAACAAUUAAUGGCAUAUGCAGGCACAUGUUCAUGUUGCGUUCAACUUUGACCAUAUCUAUUGAUUGGAUGCCAAAACACUAUUGCUACCUGCCCCAGUUUGCAAGAUCUUUAGGCAUUUUAUUAUUUCAGGCUGUGUCGUGACAAAAAAUUCAGGUUUUCUUUGGUGGAAUCUGCAGUAUCUCUAUUAGUAUCCUAUGCAGAGCCUGAGGCUUGGAGAAAAAUGGUGCAUGAUCAGAACCUUUAACUUGGAAAAUUUGUUCUGGAGGAUUGGAUUCAAUCAUCGAUUCCUGUAAAGAGACAGGUAUCACACAAUCUUCUUGAGUUUUGAUAUAAAAUCGUGGUAUCGAUCCAUAGUUCUUGUCAGAAAGAGAAAGCUUCUCCAGAAGUGGAGCAAAUGGGAUUGGUCUCAUUGAUACAGAUGCCAGGGCUAUGUCCUUAGCUGAACUUUGGUUGAACAAUAAAUCUGCCAAAAAAGCCUUGUCAAGGUCAAUAGCUGUUGGAGGGUUAUCCU